rnacentral:rRNA from 1 species
UACGAAGGGGGCUAGCGUUGUUCGGAAUUACUGGGCGUAAAGGGCGCGUAGGCGGUCCUGAUCGUCGGAUGUGAAAGGCCUGGGCUCAACCUGGGAAUGGCAUCCGAUACGGCGGGACUGGAGUGUGGGAGAGGUUGGUGGAAUUCCCAGUGUAGAGGUGAAAUUCGUAGAUAUUGGGAGGAACACCAGUGGCGAAGGCGGCUCACUGGACCGGUACUGACGCUGAGGCGCGAAAGCGUGGGGAGCAAACAGG